rnacentral:rRNA from 1 species
UGGGGGAUAUUGCACAAUGGGCGAAAGCCUGAUGCAGCGACGCCGCGUGGGGGAUGAAGGCCUUCGGGUUGUAAACUUCUUUUGCUCUGAACAAGGCAUGCCUUUGGGGUGUGUUGAGUGUAGGGGUUGAUUAGCGCCGGCUAACUACGUGCCAGCAGCCGCGGUAAUACGUAGGGCGCGUGCGUUGUCCGGAAUUAUUGGGCGUAAAGGGCUUGUAGGUGGCUGGUUGCGUCUGUCGUGAAAGCUCAUGGCUUAACUGUGGGUUUGCGGUGGGUACGGGCUGGCUUGAGUGCAGUAGGGGAGGCUGGAAUUCCUGGUGUAGCGGUGGAAUGCGCAGAUAUCAGGAGGAAUACCGGUGGCGAAGGCGGGUCUCUGGGCUGUUACUGACGCUGAGGAGCGAAAGCGUGGGGAGCGAACAGG